UACGAAGGGGGGCUAGCGUUGCUCGGAAUUACUGGGCGUAAAGCGUGCGCAGGCGGCUUCUCAAGUCAGGGGUGAAAGCCCAGAGCUCAACUCUGGAAUUGCCUUUGAGACUGAGUGGCUUGAGUACGAGAGAGGUGAGUGGAAUUCCCAGUGUAGAGGUGAAAUUCGUAGAUAUUGGGAAGAACACCGGUGGCGAAGGCGGCUCACUGGCUCAUUACUGACGCUCAGGCGCGAUAGCGUGGGGAUCAAACAGG
rnacentral:rRNA from 1 species